AGAACAGGGGCGGCGACAGGGGUGGGCUAAGGGGGAUGAAGCCUCGAAUGUUUUUACUAUGCCCUGACCGAAACAUCACUGAGUUUUCAUGCGCAUUAAAAUAAUUUCUAUUAGUACUGCAGAUUUGCUCUCUGCACAUCCAACAGUGUCUACUGUCUACUGUCAUUCACUCCCGACAAGACCCGCCCCACUGAGGCUCGUACUUCUGAUUGACAUGUAAACUGGCCAACCAACGAUAAAGUCUAUAUA